rnacentral:rRNA from 1 species
UAGACCUCAAAUCAGGCAGG